rnacentral:lncRNA from 1 species
AACUUGCAGUGACUCCCCAGUGUUUACCAGAUCAGACCCAGACUCUUCCUUUCAGUUUUCAACUACGUGGAUUUUUCUCGUACACAAGCUUUCAGAUCUCCUUUUGGCCCUCAUCUGGUUCUUGCAUCUUCGUGCUGUGGGUUGCUUGCCAUGCCUGCCCAUCUGUGGUGGCUUGUCUCCAAAGAUGGCUGCCAUCAGUUUCUUCUCCUCAGUGUACACCUGCCACUCCCCCACUGAGAGCUGGAGUCUGUUGCUCUGCCCCCGUGAACCUGGGCGGGCCUGUGACUAAUUUCACUAAUAGACUAUGGUGGCAGUGACACUGUGCCAAUUCUGGGCCUACUCUUUAAAAGGGCAGGCAGGAGUUCCCAUUGUGGCACAGCAGAAAAGAAUCUGACUAGGAACCAUGAAGUUGCGGGUUUGAUCCCUGACCUUGCUCAAUGGGUUAAGGAUCUGGUGUUGCCGUGAGCUGUGGUGUAGGUCGCAGAUGUGGCUUAGAUUCCGCAUUGCUGUGGCUGUGGCAUAGGCUGGCAGCUGUAGCUCCGAAUGGACUCCUAGCCUAGGAACCUCCAUGUGCCACAGGCGUGGCGCUAAAAAGCAAAAAAAAAGAAAACAACUAGCCCAGCAGAGCCUUGAGGGCCCCCCAGUCUCAGCUGCUUCCUGACUAACCACAUGAGCCAUCUCAGGCAGGACCAUUCAGUUGAGUACAGUCAGCUACAGAACCAAGAGAUAACAAUAGUAGUUUUAAGCCACUAAGUUUUGGGGUGGUUUGCUCUAUAGCAAUACAUACCCUAAAUACCACCCUUUAAGGCCUCAAACCUAGAUUUCCUGUAGUCUAGUUGACAUCUGUCCAUCCCUUCUCUAAUUCCCAUAGAACUUCUCAGUUCCACACAUUUUGUUAUUCAACUGUACGUACUAUUUUCCACUUCCUGUGUGCUAAUCUGGCCUCCAUGACCAAUUCUAUGACCUUUGAAGAUACCAAUAAUGGAAAUACGACUUUUGCAGUCCUGUCAGCAAGUCCCAAUACUGGACAAAAUCGUAAUUAAUAAGCCAAAGCAUUCUUGGUCCUUUGAGCUCUCCGCCAACUGUAUCAGUUGCGACUCUUUUCGCUAUCUUUUGGAGCAUUCUUUUAAGUCUUGGUUAUGGCUGGAUGGCUGAUGUGUGGCUGCAGGCAGCCCUUGCAUCCUUCCACCUGGAGACAGUCUGUGAUAGCACAGUGGUUCUCCAAGUCUGGUCCCAGAUCAGCAGCAUCACCAUCGCCUGGGAACCUGCUAGAAAUUCGGAUUCUUGGGCCUACCCCAGAACCUAUGAAAUUUAAAGUUCUGGGGGUAGGGCCCAGCACUCUGUGUUUUAACAAGAUUUCCAGAUAAUUCUGAUGCAUGCUGAAGUAUGAGCAUCCCUUUUGUAUUGGAAAGAAUUCUGGUUUUAAGGUCUAGGAUUCUUUCAUUAAAUGACAUUUACUAAAUGUGCAUCUGCUUGUGCCAGGUGUUGUGUCAGAGGCUGGGAUACUAGGAUGGCUACAGGUUCAUCUCUGCCCUUGUGGGUUGAGGAAGAGUGGCUGCAAUAUUUACAUACAUAUAAAUGUGAUCUACCGCAAAUUACCUGUGCAAGACCUGAGCACAGAACAAGACAGUCCCAAUUUUUACCUUCACUUUUCUAUUUAAGAAUCAGAUGC